UCAUCUUGGCAGGGUGCAAUGUGGUGUUCGGGAGGGUCCAUUCGCGCCUUGAGCUCUGGUGUCCAAGUCCCCCUGACCGGGGCCAUCGCCCGUUGAGGGUGCAAGGCCUGUUGGGCAGGGCUGUGUCUCCGAUCUCGGCGCGUCGGGUCCCUUCCUUGGAGUCGGGUUGCUUGAGAGUGCAGCCCAAAGUGGGUGGUAAACUCCACCUAAGGCUAAAUACUUUCCACGAGACCGAUAGCAAACAAGUACCGUGAGGGAAAGUUGCAAAGAACUUUGAAGAGAGAGUUCAAGAGUGCGUGAAACCGUUCGGAGGUAAACGGGUGGGAGCGCGAAGGUCGAACGGACGGGGAGGGAUUCAACUUGGCGUGGUGGCUGGCCGAGCCGGUUCGUGUCUGGGUGUGCUGGGUUCUCCCUUAACGGGGAGACGCCCGCCGCCCCGCGUUCUGCUCCGGCCGUAGUCCGCCGUGCCUUGUGCAUUUCCCUAUUCCCCCUCUCCUAGUAGGACGCCGCGACCGGCUGUCGAGGGGAGCCCAGGAGCUGGUUGGAGCAGUUGCGCGGACGAGCAAGGGAUCAGUUCUCUGCGUCCGGUCUGUCUGUCUCCUUCCGCCCGCGGGUCGCUCCCUCCGGCCGAGGAACUGUGCGGGCCGGGUCCCCUUCGGGGGAUCCCCCGUCCAUGCGCGUGCCCACGAUCUGUCGGUGCGGGUCGAAAGAUCCCAACGGGUGGCGGCGGGUGGCCGCGCGCCAGUCUCCGGACUGCGCGUGCGGACUCCGAGCGUCAGCCGCCGUCGGUCAGGGUGCGGACUCCCGCAGUUGGGCGCUGGGGGUCGGCGGCGAGUAGGUCGGUUUCCCACCCGACCCGUCUUGAAACACGGACCAAGAAGUCUAACGUGUGGGCGAGUCUUCGGGGACUUAUGAACCCUUAGAAGGCGAAAUAAAAGUGAAGGCGUGGUGCCGUCCUCCGUUCUCCGAGCCUCCGGGCCUGGAUGAGCGUUGGGUGGCCCCGCCCGAGUGGGAUCCCCCGUCUGAUGGCGGGGGCGCACCACC
rnacentral:rRNA from 1 species